GACGAACGCUGGCGGCGUGCUUAACACAUGCAAGUCGAACGGAAAGGCCCUGCUUGCAGGGUACUCGAGUGGCGAACGGGUGAGUAACACGUGGGUGAUCUGCCCUGCACUUCGGGAUAAGCCUGGGAAACUGGGUCUAAUACCGGAUAGGAGCCAUUUUUAGUGUGAUGGUUGGAAAGUUUUUUCGGUGUAGGAUGAGCUCGCGGCCUAUCAGCUUGUUGGUGGGGUAAUGGCCUACCAAGGCGGCGACGGGUAGCCGGCCUGAGAGGGUGGACGGCCACAUUGGGACUGAGAUCCGGCCCAGACUCCUACGGGAGGAAGCAGGGGGGAAUAUUGCACAAGGGGCGAAAGCCUGAUGCAGGGACGCCGCGUGGGGGAUGACGGCCUUCGGGUUGUAAACUCCUUUCGCUAGGGACGAAGCUUUUUGUGACGGUACCUAGAGAAGAAGCACCGGCUAACUACGUG
rnacentral:rRNA from 1 species